UACGGGGGGGGAGCAAGCGUUUGUUCGGAUUUACUGGGCGUAAAGGGCGCGUAGGCGGCCACCGCAAGUCAGUUGUGAAAUCUCUGGGCUUAACCCAGAAAGGUCAACUGAUACUGCGGGGGCUAGAGUGCAGAAAGGGGCAACUGGAAUUCUCGGUGUAGCGGUGAAAUGCGUAGAUAUCGAGAGGAACACCUGCGGCGAAGGCGGGUGCUGGGCUGACACUGACGCUGAUGCGCGAAAGCUAGGGGAGCGAACGGG
rnacentral:rRNA from 1 species